rnacentral:tRNA from 1 species
AUUUAAGUAGCUUAAAUUAAAGCAUAACACUGAAGAUGUUAGGAUAGCAUUAGUGCUCUUGAAUA